AGUUCACACUCAAGCUAUCACAUAAAUUGAAGUUGCAUCAAUUUGCUUACUCUAAUUUAGUAAUUGGGUUACUGGGUCCUGAGUUUUUUACCAUUUAUUUGAAACAUAUACUAUGCUAUUUAGCUAGCUGCACUUUUUUUUUUUUUUGGGAACUCCAUUUUCUGUGCGAAGUUCAGUGAUUUAAUAUUUCUAUAUCUUUCACUGCUGUAGAAACGAUGUGCUAUAAGCCUAUAACACUUACCAUUGAUGGGAUGUUUGUGAAGCUCACAACUUGAAAGGUUAAUUAGGUGAUGCUUUAUUGUGUAAAUGCAUUCUUUGGGUAUGUCUUAAUGCUUUGAGUAUAGUAUGUGAUGUAUGUAGAUAAUAAGUAGAUUUGUGGCUUUUCCUUUGAAAAGUUGUAAAGUGUGAGUUGGAACCAGUAGUCAAUAGAUUCCCUAGGAAAAUGUGCUUUUUUGUUUGCGGAUUUUGGUAGAGUUUGUUGGUAGACAGUCUUACCUCCAAUUUUGAGAAGGCCAAUUCCUGGUGUUGUUGAAGUUGAACAUGUGAUGUAUCGCUUUGGUGGAGGGCACUUGCCAUUGCACCAAGGUCAGACCUUUAUAGUGUUAUUCUCAAGCCCUGCCCACCUAAAAAAGAGAAAUAACUCCUAGGUAGUUUAGGCACUUAACAAUGUAGGAUACACCUACAUCUUUUUCUCAUGAUGUACUGUUUUGUUUUCUAUGCUAAGUAAAUUGAGAAUAAAAGGAGAGGAAGAUGAGCCCUACAAGCAUAAGUCCCAGCCCACCCAAAAAGGAAUUUGAGAUUGCAUUGUAGUUGCACUAUCUUAGUGACUAAUUUUCAAUUUUUGAAUUUAGUUGUACUAUUAAGAUCCAUUUAUUUUUUUGGUCAAAGCCUUUAAAAUGACAAAAAUAUGCUUUGAAUGAUAGCUUCUUCAAUCUUAGCAUUGUCAGAUUUAUUCCUCUAGUGUCAAGACUAGAGAAACUAUCAUUGAAAUCGUUAACGUGGGACUUCAACGAUAAAUUAAUGCCCUACAAAAACUUUAAAUUUUCUACCUAGGCCUAUAGAUUAAGUUGGCAGCUUGAUAUACACUUCAAUUUUUUUAGGAGCUAUAAUUUUGGUCAAAGCUCUUUGAGUUUUGUUUGUGUAGUGGUUUAUGAAAAUUGAGUUCUCAUUGAUGGGAUAUUUGUGAAAUUCAUAAAUUGAAAGGUGCAUUAGGGUGAUGAUUAAUAGUGUAAUGUAAAUAAAUUUAUGUGGGUUAUUUGGCCAACCCUCAAUAGAUUCACUAGGGGGGUUUUAACUACUAGAAAAUUGGUUCAAUCGGCUCUGAACCAAAUCUGAGAACUGGUGCUAGCCACAUUAUCCUACCCUUUUUUUUAAUUACAUUUUAUAACAUUUCAAGGAAACUUGAUCAUGACCUUUCUAUGAUGUUGCAUUGUAGUUGCACCAUAUGGUAAGUGUUUUUUAAUAGCUUCUUCAGUCUUCACAUUCUCAGAAUAUUCUCGGAUUGAUUCCUCAAACGCUAAGAUUGAUGAAGCUAUCAUUUAGAGAAAUAAAGGGGCAAUCAGAGAGAGAGAGACAUCUGCCAAAACCUGAACUUCAAACCAGACCUAUAGAUUAGCUUGCACUUCUGUAAUUUGGUUUGAAUGAAUUUGCUUAUUCAUCAAAAGAAAGGAGAACAAGGAUUUAAGAAAAGAGGGAAAAAAGAUGCCUCUUGAGUAGAACUAAAAUGAAGUUGUAUUUGUGACUAAACCUCGAAGUAAACUAUCACUUCUUUUCCUAAGAAAAGAUGGAAGAAAGAAACAACAAUUGCUUGUUUUGUUCACUUGCUUGCAGCCCUUGUGCAUGUGCUAGGGUACUCCAAAUGUUUUUCUAUGCCAGUCAAUUGGGCCUGGUUUCUGUGAGGCUUGACACAUCCAGGGUAUUUUGGUGCACAUGAGGUUACAACUUUUUCAGUUAUUUUAGUUUGAACUAGUAAGAAAACUUGCAUUAUUAAGUGGAUUGCACCUGUUUUAGAAAGUUAAUAAAAUCCAAUUUACUAAUAUAUGAAUAUUCUAUUUGAAA